rnacentral:rRNA from 1 species
AGGGCAAGUCUGGUGCCAGCAGCCGCGGUAAUUCCAGCUCCAAUAGCGUAUAUUAAAGUUGUUGCAGUUAAAAAGCUCGUAGUUGAAUUUCGGGGUUCUACCGUUGGUCGGGCUUUGUCUGUACUGGCGUGUAGAAUUUCUACCUUCUGGGGAACCAUUAUGUUAUUAAUUUAGCGUAGUGGGAAACCAGGACCUUUACCUUGAAAAAAUUAGAGUGUUCAAAGCAGGCUUAUGUCUGAAUACAUUAGCAUGGAAUAAUAGAAUAGGACGGUGGUCCUGUUUUGUUGGUUUCUGAAUCACCGUAAUGAUUAAUAGGGAUAGUUGGGGGCAUUAGUAUUCAAUUGUCAGAGGUGAAAUUCUUGGAUUUAUUGAAGACUAACUUCUGCGAAAGCAUUUGCCAAGGAUGUUUUCAUUAAUCAAGAACGAAAGUUAGGGGAUCGAAGACGAUCAGAUACCGUCGUAGUCUUAACCAUAAACUAUGCCGACUAGGGAUCGAACGAUGUUAAUUUUUCUUGACUCGUUCGGCGCCUUACGGGAA